UUAAACUGCAGAGAGGAUAAACAACCAUCCUCCAAAAAACUAAUGCAGCUAAAGCAUCAGUACAAGAUUCCCUACGCUGUCCUUCCAGUGUGCCUCAAUUCUGAUUGACAAGGACUGUUUUGAAAGUGAGAGGUUAUUUCAGUUUCCAUGACCCAUUCAGCACUUGACCUGU
ensembl:misc_RNA